GACGAACGCUGGCGGCGUGCUUAACACAUGCAAGUCGAACGGAAAGGCCCUGCUUUUGUGGGGUGCUCGAGUGGCGAACGGGUGAGUAACACGUGAGUAACCUGCCCUUGACUUUGGGAUAACUUCAGGAAACUGGGGCUAAUACCGGAUAGGAGCUCCUGCUGCAUGGUGGGGGUUGGAAAGUUUCGGCGGUUGGGGAUGGACUCGCGGCUUAUCAGCUUGUUGGUGGGGUAGUGGCUUACCAAGGCUUUGACGGGUAGCCGGCCUGAGAGGGUGACCGGCCACAUUGGGACUGAGAUACGGCCCAGACUCCUACGGGAGGCAGCAGGGGGGAAUAUGGCACAAUGGGCGGAAGCCGGAUGCAGCAACGCCGCGUGCGGGAUGACGGCCUUCGGGUUGUAAACCGCUUUCGCCUGUGACGAAGCGUGAGUGACGGUAAGGGGUAAAGAAGCACCGGCUAACUACGUG
rnacentral:rRNA from 1 species